AUGGUCACCCAGAGGACUGUUACACCCUUGAUGUUACUAAAAAGCCGUCAGCUGCCCCAACUCUCGCUCAGCCAUAACAGAGGCACCCAGCAAGGGGGAAUUCCCCCACGCCAGACACGGAGGAGGCAAGGAUGCAAUCCCCACCAGGGGCUGGGACUCCAGACAAGAGCACUGUUUAUGUCCACACUGUCGAUGAAGAAGCUGAAGUGGAGGGAAACUGAAGAACCUCUGCUGGAGUCAUGUUAUUUAACUAUGAAGAUCUUACCAGGUUUGAACCAGUCGCUGGGGACUUCCAGAGUUCCUUAUGUCUGGUCCUGCCUACUGGGGGAAACUGGAGAUGCCCAGCAGAGGCCCAGAAGUGCCAGCCUGCUCAGGUUGACCUUGCCCAGCCCACUCGGGAGGGCCUGAGCACAGAAGUUCCCAUGGAAAGUUUUGAGAUUUUUGUGGAUUGAAACCAGAUGACCCCUUGUAAGCAGAGCCCACCAGCAGCAGUGGGUCUGGGUGUGUGUGCUCCUCCACCCUCCUGUUCCCAGUCUGUUCCAGGGAGGGAAACCGCCCCAGGGUGCAGACAAGCCAAUGGGACGGGAGCUCACGAGCCUUGGCCACCAGACAGGCAUGGCUGGGUGGUUGGAGGGAACAAAAGACAAUUCUGUGCUGGGACAGGAAUGGCUCCACCGGUCUCCUGGGUCCUCAUCUGUUUUCAAGUUUCAGGAUGAGCAGAGAACUUUGAGAGCGCGUUCCUCUUCUCCACAUUUUCCAGUUCCUUCUCUGCACGCUCAUUCAUUUCUACCUUCCACAAAUCACUGAAGCAAACAGAGCACACUGUGAGCUGAACUGAACCUCUGUGAUGAUCUCCCCCUACCUAGAAAUUAAAAGCAUUGCUGUUCCUGGAAGAAAGAGACAAUCAGUGAAGCCUGAGCCUGGACUUAUUUCUACAUGGUAUUGAGAGGUUGGGGGCUGGGGACACAGCUCAGUGGUCAAGUGUUUGCUGCACAAACAUGAAGAA
rnacentral:lncRNA from 1 species